ensembl:lncRNA HOXC-AS1 HOXC cluster antisense RNA 1
GGCUUUUUUUUCCUUGCCUUCUUUUCCCCCUCUCCCACCCCCUUCUCUCUGCUGCUCCCCGCGACCUGCGAUUUCCUGGGGGUCCGGAACUCUGGACCCAAGGCACCGGUCACCCCCUCAGGACGGCUCCUAGCUCAUCUGAGAAGCCCCUGUGCCCAUGUCCACCCAUAAGCAGAUGGCCUCCCCCCAACCAUGAGGAUUUUUUAAUGGGGUGAAAAUGCCAGUCCCCGAAGCCAGGGUUCUCGGACCCCCAGGGCCGAGCUGGGCGCGGGAGCCCCGCAGGGGCGGGGAGGCCGACCGAGCUUGAAGAAGUGUAGGAGAGAUCUACACAACUUAAGUGGGGCGUCCCCAUCCCAUCUUCCUGCGCACCCUCCUUUGCCCCCAACUCCAUCUCUGCGACACUUCCCCACCCCCACUCCCCCCAAAAAGUCGCUCCCGGGCUCUGUCUGCAGAGAGCCAGGGUGAGAGCGGGCAAGGCAAAAGAGCGACCUCGGUCGUGGGCAAGUAGCUUGUUUUUACGUCCCUCAAUAAAAUUUUUAUGAGGAUCA